rnacentral:rRNA from 1 species
GAUCCUGGCUCAGGACGAACGCUGGCGGCGCGCCUAACACAUGCAAGUCGAACGGAGCUGAGAGGAGCUUGCUUUUCUUGACUUAGUGGCGAACGGGUGAGUAACGCGUGAGUAACCUGCCCUGGAGUGGGGGACAACAGUUGGAAACGACUGCUAAUACCGCAUAAGCCCACGGCCCGGCAUCGGGCUGCGGGAAAAGGAUUUAUUCGCUUCAGGAUGGACUCGCGUCCAAUUAGCUAGUUGGUGAGG